rnacentral:rRNA from 1 species
AUACGGAGGAUGCAAGCGUUAUCCGGAUUUAUUGGGUUUAAAGGGUGCGUAGGCGGAUGAUUAAGCGUGAGGUGAAAUGCCACUGCUCAACAGUGGAACUGCCUCGCGAACUGGUUGUCUUGAAUGCUCCUGCCGUGGGAGGAAUGUGUGGUGUAGCGGUGAAAUGCAUAGAGAUCACACAGAACACCGAUUGCGAAGGCAUCUCACGAAGGGGUGAUUGACGCUGAGGCACGAAAGCGUGGGGAUCAAACAGGAUUAGAUACCCUGGUAGUCCACGCAGUAAACGAUGAUAACUAACCGCUGGGUCGUAGUGAUUCAGUGGCCAAGCGAAAGCGAUAAGUUAUCCACCUGGGGAGUACGACCGCAAGGUUGAAACUCAAAUGAAUUGACGGG